AUUAUUUGAAAUGAAAUGUUAUUCGUUUAUAAAGAUAUCUAGUUUUUUUAGAAAUAAAUUUAAUUUAAAAGUUUUUAAUUUUAUUAAUUAAUUAUAUUAAUUAAUAAAUUUAUAAAUUUAAAUAUUUUAAGGGAUAAGCUUUAGAAUAAAUUUUUAUAAAUUAAUAAAUGAUAAUUAAAAUUAUAUGCAUAGAAUUAGUAAUUAUUAAAAAUUUUGUUAUAAAUUAUUUUAUAAAAUAUAUUAUUUAUUAUAAUUUUAAAUUUUUAUAAAAAUAUUUUUUUUAAUUUUAUUUAAAAAGUAAUAAUGAUAAAAUUAGUAUAUUUAUAUUAUGUAAGUAUAAUUUAUUUUGAUAAGUUUAUAUAAAGAACUCGGCAAAUAUUUUACUCGCCUGUUUAACAAAAACAUGUCUUUUUGUGUUAUUUUUAAAGUCUAACCUGCCCAAUGAAUAAAUUUUAAUGGCCGCAGUAUUUUGACUGUGCAAAGGUAGCAUAAUCAUUAGUCUUUUAAUUGAAGGCUUGAAUGAAUGGUUGGACGAAGUAUAAUCUGUUUCAUUUAAAUUUAUUAUAGAAUUUUAUAUUUAGUAAAAAAGCUAAAAUAUUUUUAAAAGACGAGAAGACCCUAUAAAUCUUUAUAGUUUAUAUUAUUUUUAUUUUUUAUAUUUAUUUUAUUUAAAUAAUUUGAAUUAUUUUGUUGGGGUGAUAUUAAAAUUUAAUAAACUUUUAAUUUAAUUAUUUCAUUAAUUUAUGUUUUAUUGAUCCAUUAAUAAUGAUUAAAAGAAUAAGUUACUUUAGGGAUAACAGCGUAAUUUUUUUGGAGAGUUCUUAUUGAUAAAAAAGUUUGCGACCUCGAUGUUGGAUUAAGAUAUAAAUUUAGGUGUA
rnacentral:rRNA from 2 species